GAGAUUCCAUGGUAGGAGGCCCCCAAAAACGAAUAGAUGUUUUGAGUGACUUAGAGUUCUCUCCAUCUCUUUCCGGCCUUGUAAGCCCUGAGUCUUGAAAUAGAUUAAAAAGCUUUCAGAUUCCCAGGCUUUCGCCAAUCUUUUUAGUUACGGUAGUUUUUUCUCCGUUGGAAUGGAAUCAAAGGGAUACGGAUAUGAUUACUGCUCAACUUACUCCUCAAUACUAGCUUCUUCCUUAACAUACCGAGGAUCUGUUACCGGUGAAAAUCUUGGUUUAGGAAUGGCUUACCCAGGUUUAGUAAUGCAAUUUAACUCAGGACGUAUAAGAAGAUGCACCCAAUCAAAGU
rnacentral:lncRNA from 1 species